UUAGAAGGGUCUGGGGAUUUGUUUAAAAGGAGCAACCAAAAGCCUGCCAGAUACAGCAAAAGGGAUAUUAUGCUAGGGCUUAUACUGACCAUUAGUUCUGAUUACUGGGGAGGUUUUGAAGCGCAAAGCGGCCAUGAUGAUUGGAAUCGCUUUCAGGUAGGUUUUUAAAAGUAUUGAUCUAGUUUGUUUCCCUUGUCCUUCAGGUGUUACAGGUAGCUAUGUUUAUAACAGACUUUCUUUUUUUUAAAGAGUUUCUUGGCUUUGUUGCCUGCUAAUUGGAGGGAUAACCUGUUCUACAUCAAGUGAUGGGUAUCCUGCACUAGGUUCUGAUGCAGCAUGGCUCUAUGCAGGCUCACUUGGGUCUAAAGGAUAUGGUAAUUACAACUCUCCAACAGCUGAAAUGCAAGCGCAGCUGACCGAAGAGCAACAGAAGCAUCCGGCUGCCAUCCUGCAAAAACAACUGGCCCCCAUGCCCCAGGCACCUCAGAAAAUGUGGUAUCCAGCUCAAAUGCCCCAGAAGCAACCAGCUACUGAACUUCAGCAUCAGAAGGAACAGGCCGCCAUACCCCAGCUACCUCAGCAAGUGUGGUAUCCAGUUCAAAUACCCCAGCAGCAAAAGCAACCAGCUACUGGUCCUCAGCAGCAGAAGGAACUGACCACCAUGCCCCAGAAGCAACUGGCUCCAAUGCCUAUACCUCAGAACCAACCAAUAGCUAUGCCCCAGCAAGCAUGGUAUCCAGCCCCAAUGCCUCCACCGCAGAAGCAACCGGCCACCAUGCCCCAGCAAGUGUGGCAUACAGCUCAAAUGCCCCAGCAGCAAAAGCAACCAGCUACUGAACCUCAGCAGCAGAAGGAACCGGCCGCCAUAACUCAGCAAGUGUUGCAUCCAGCUCAAAUGCUGCUGAAGCAACCGACUGCCAUGCCCCAGCAAGUGUGGUAUCCAGCUCAAAAGCCCCAGAAUCAACCAGUCCCUAUGCGUCAACCGCAGAAGGAACUGACCGCCAAUCCACCACAACUGUGGCAAUCUGCUCAAAUGCCCCAGCAGCAUAAGCAACCGGCUACCACGCUUCAGCAAGUGUGGCAAGCGGCCCCCAUGCCCCAGCAGCCUCAUGACGUGUGGUAUCCAGCUAAAAUGGUCCAGAAGCAACAAGCCUCUGCAACUCGGCGGCAGAAGGAACUGACCGCCAUGCCUCAGCAAGAGUGGCAUCCAGCUCAAAUGCCCCAGAAGCAACCAACCGCUGAACCUCAGCAGCAGAAGCAAGAGUGGCAUCCAGCUCAAAUGCCCCAGAAGCAACCAACUGCUGAACCUCAGCAGCAGAAGCAACUUACCGCCUUGGCCCAGGAAGUGUGGACUCCAGCUCAAUGUCCCCAGCAGCAGAAGCAACCGGCUGCUGAAACUCGGCAGAAAAUUGAACCGACUGCCAUGCCCCAGCCACCUCAGCAAGUGAUGCAUCCAGCUCAAUUUCCCCAGGAGCGGAAGCAACCAGCCCCAAUGCCUUUACCGCAGAAGGAACUGACCGCCAUACCUCAGCUAGUGUGGUAUUCACCUCAGCAGCAGAAGCAACCGACUGCUGAACCUCAGCAGCAGAAGCAACCGACUGCUGAACCUCAGCAGCAGAAGCAAGUGUUGCAUCCAGCUCAAAUGCUGCAGAAGCAACUGACUGCCAUGCCCCAGCAAGUAUGGUAUCCAGCUCAAAAGCCCCAGCUGCAGAAGCAACCGGCCGCUGAACCUCAGCAGCAAAUUGAACUGACCGCCAUGCCCCAGCCACCUCAGCAAGUGUGGCAUCCAGUUCAAAUACCCCAGCAGCAAAAGCAACCAGCUACUGGUCCUCAGCAGCAGAAGGAACUGACCACCAUGCCCCAGAAGCAACUGGCUCCAAUGCCUAUACCUCAGAACCAACCAACAGCUUUGCCCCAGCAAGCAUGGUAUCCAGCCCCAAUGCCUCCACCGCAGAAGCAACCGGCCACCAUGCCCCAGCAAGUGUGGCAUCCAGCUCAAAUGCCCCAGCAGCAAAAGCAACCAGCUACUGAACCUCGGCAGCAGAAGGAACCGGCCGCCAUAACUCAGCAAGUGUUGCAUCCAGCUCAAAUGCUGCUGAAGCAACCGACUGCCAUGCCCCAGCAAGUGUGGUAUCCAGCUCAAAAGCCCCAGAAUCAACCAGUCCCUAUGCGUCAACCGCAGAAGGAACUGACCGCCAAUCCACCACAACUGUGGCAAUCUGCUCAAAUGCCCCAGCAGCAUAAGCAACCGGCUGCCACGCUUCAGCAAGUGUGGCAAGCGGCCCCCAUGCCCCAGCAGCCUCAUGACGUGUGGUAUCCAGCUAAAAUGGUCCAGAAGCAACAAGCCUCUGCAACUCGGCGGCAGAAGGAACUGACCGCCAUAUCUCAGCAAGAGUGGCAUCCAGCUCAAAUGCCCCAGAAGCAACCAACCGCUGAACCUCGGCAGCAGAAGCAACUUACCGCCUUGGCCCAGGAAGUGUGGACUCCAGCUCAAUGUCCCCAGCAGCAGAAGCAACCGGCUGCUGAAACUCGGCAGAAAAUUGAACCGACUGCCAUGCCCCAGCCACCUCAGCAAGUGAUGCAUCCAGCUCAAUUUCCCCAGGAGCGGAAGCAACCAGCACCAAUGCCUUUACCGCAGAAGGAACUGACCGCCGUACCUCAGCUAGUGUGGUAUUCACCUCAGCAGCAGAAGCAACCGACUGCUGAACCUCAGCAGCAGAAGCAAGUUAGGUAUCCAGCUAAAAUGCCCCAGAAGCAUCUGGCCUCCAUGCCGCAGAAGCAACCGACCGCCGUGCCCCAGCAAGGGUGGCAUCCAGCUCAAAUGCUGCAGACACAACUGACCGCCGUGCCCCAGCUAACAUGGUAUCGAGCUCAAAUUCUCCAGCAGCAGAAACAACUGGCCUCCAUGCCGCAGAAGCAACCGGCCACCAUGCCGCCGCAAGUGUUGCAUCCAGCUCAAAUGCUGCAGAAGCAACUGACCGCCAUGCCCCAGCAAGCAUGGUAUCCAGCUCAAAAGCCCCAGCUGCAGAAGCAACUGGCCGCUGAACCUCAGCAGCAAAUUGAACUGACCGCCAUGCCCCAGCCACCUCAGCAAGUGUGGCAUCCAGAUCAAUUUCCCCCGGAGCAGAAGCAACCAGCCCCUAUGCAUCUACCGCAGAAGGAAAUGACCGCCGUACCCCAACUGUGGCAAACAGCUCAAAUUCCCCAGCAGCAUAAGCAACCGGCUGCCAUGCUUCAGCAAGUGUGGCAUCUGGCGCAGAAGCAACCGGCCCCUAUGCCCCAGCAGCCUCACGACGUGUGGUAUCCAGCUAAAAUUAUCCAGAAGCAACAAGUCGCUGCACUGACCGCCAUGCCGCAGACACAUCAGCAAGUGUGGCAUCCAGCUCAAUUUCCCCAGCAGCAGAAGCAAUCGGCCUCCACGCCUCUUCCGCAGGAGCAACCGACCGCCGUACCCAAGCAAGUGUGGUAUCCAGCUCAAAUGUCCCAGCAGCAACUGGCCUCCAUGCCUCUACCGCAGAAGCAACUGACCCCCAUGCCUCAGCAAUUAUGGCAUGUAGCUCAAAUGCCCCAGAAGCAACUGGCCUCCAUGCCUCUACCGCAGAAGCAACUGACCCCCAUGCCUCAGCAAUUAUGGCAUGUAGCUCAAAUGCCCCAGAAGCAACUGGCCUCCAUGCCUCUACCGCAGAAGCAACUGACCCCCAUGCCUCAGCAAUUAUGGCAUGUAGCUCAAAUGCCCCAGAAGCAACUGGCCUCCAUGCCUCUACCGCAGAAGCAACUGACCCCCAUGCCUCAGCAAUUAUGGCAUGUAGCUCAAAUGCCCCAGAAGCAACUGGCCCCAAUGUCUCAGCAGAAGCACUACGAAAGCACUGAAGAUGGUGUCUCUGGUAGCUCUCAGGCCAGCAUUGUUGAACAGUUGGGUGUCAUCCCAAUCUAUUCCUACAGUUCCAAAUCGCACUACGAGAAGGGCAGAACUGUCUUCUCCCAAACCCGCUACACUCCUAGGGAGGCUAUGCCUGUUGACAGUGGAAAUGCUCCCAAGGACAGUUAUGUUGGCAUUGGUGCACCAAGCAUACAUCCACCACUAGUGAAGGAUUCUGCAAGGGAAAUGUAAUGGAGUCAUCCUCUAGAAGCUCUAAUGGUGAGAAUUGUUUGACAUUGGUUACAUAACAUUCUGUAUUGCUGACACUGUUUGCAUUUCUUUCUGCUUUUGUUUCGACCAGGAAGUUGCUGGUGCUCUAGCGUGAUGGAAUCAAUAAACAAUUUUAUUUUCAAAAAUG
ensembl:lncRNA